rnacentral:rRNA from 1 species
GUGUCAGCCGCCGCGGUAAUACGCAGGUGGCAAGCGUUAUCCGGAUUUACUGGGCGUAAAGAGUGCGUAGGCGGUUCAUCAAGUCGGAUGUGAAAUCUCCCGGCUUAACCGGGAGGGGUCAUUCGAAACUGUUGGACUAGAGGACAGCAGGGGGAGGUGGAAUUCCCGGUGUAGUGGUGAAAUGCGUAGAUAUCGGGAGGAACACCAGUGGCGAAGGCGGCCUCCUGGGCUGUUUCUGACGCUGAGGCUCGAAAGUGUGGGGAGCGAACAGGAUUAGAUACCCUGGUAGUCCACACUGUAAACAAUGGACACUAGGUAUGGGGAGUAUCGACCCUUUCUGUGCCGAAGCUAACGCUUUAAGUGUCCCGCCUGGGGACUACGGCCGCAAGGCUAAAACUUAAAGGAAUUGGCGGGG